AUGGCGGCGCAAAAGCGGCCGCUGGAGGCCGUCGCGGCGGAGCAGGAGGCGCCGCGGUCGCCGAGGAAGCGGCUGCGCCAGACGGUGCUCCUCGUGAUGCGGCUGGAGAGGAGGAGGGCCAGAGCGGCCACCGUCGGGCAGAUGGUUCGCCAGCAGGCGCAGCUCGACAGGGCAAAACUGUUUGUGUUUCUCAUGCUGCUCGCCUCGCGCCUUUGCUCCGUGGAGAGGCUCCUUCAGCAGCUCCGCAACCUACUGACGGGGCAGAUUGGUGCUUUUAGAUCUUUGACGGUAUCCAUACAAGAUCCAAUUCGACCAAUUGUACAGACAGAGAUGCAGGGACGACAAGCAGCCUCGCUUCCUAAUGACAUUUCUGAGCCUCCCAGGCAGAUACCGGAAGGUUUUCCUGAAACUGGAGGCAACACUCGAGUCAAACUGCGCUUUGUCGAUGUUGACAGACCAGAAGAUCCUAUUUACACUGGUUCUCCAGUACAAUGGCUGAAUAAGAAAGAUGCUAGGGUAGCAGUAUUUGAAAAUGAUAGGCAAAUCACGCAGGGCGUCCUUUCUAAAUUGCAAAUUGAGAUUUUAGCAGUCCAUGCUGAAUUCUUUACUGAGCGAGGACAAGCGGACUUCACCAAAGAGGAAUUCAACAAGCAGAUAUGUAUACAUAAGGGGAAUGAGUCAGUCUUGACCACUGUUAAUCUAGCAAAUGGUGCGGCCUAUAUUGGUUCCGUCAUAUUUAUAGAGAGCUCCCAGAGGAAAAGGUUAAGAUUGACAGCACGAGUGAAAGGACAGGAUCUUGAUGUCAGAGUUCAAGAAGCAAUCACUGAUCCUUUUGUUGUCAAAGUCGGCCGAAGUAAACAAAACAGAAAGAGUUAUCCUCCAUCUAAAGAAGAAGCGGUAUACCGUUUGGAGAAGAUUUCCCUAAAGGGAAAACAUUGUACUAUCCUUGCUGAAAAAAAUAUUACUACGGUGAAGCAAUUCAUGCGUCAUUAUUACAGAGAUGAAUCUGGUCUCCAAAAGCUUCUUGACAUGAAGGAGGAUUGGAGUACCUUGAUUAAACAUGCCACCACGUCUGAUCCUGGGCUUGAGAUCUAUUCUUUUAUUGUUGAGGAAAAUACUGAACUCUUAUUCAAUGAUUUCUAUAAUCUUGUUGGUAUGAUGAUCAGUGGAUUAUAUUUUCCUGUCAAUUGCCUUGAUCAGUUUCAGCAGAUUAAAGUGAACAACUGGAAAAUGUCUACGUAUAAGAAAUUUGACGAGCGGGAGAACUCAGGGGGUCUUACCCCUGAUUACUUCAUGACCGAUGGCAUCCCUGUCCGUGCAAUGCCUCUGAACAAUGAUGCAGAAUUUGGUGAUCAGCAUCCACUGAAUGGGUUCUCACGGGCCGCAGUCCUGUCAAACAAUGACGCUGGCCCAUCAAACCAAGGAGCACUGCCCGUUCCACAACACACGUAUCAAGGACUUGGCCAGCACAAUCCUUCUGUGCCACAGAAUGGAGCUCCUUACUCUCUGCACCAGGGAAAUAUCUUAAAUGAUCAGGGACCAUUAUCAGCACAGUCCACUAUUCCGCCCCACAAUUUUUCACCAGUUCCACAGGAUGACAUGAUCGCAGGUGCAAAUCAAACUGACCAGAGAACCCCUUCACUUGACCCUGUUCUGGCUGACAUGUCCAGUGGGUUUUCCCCAGUUCCAUUCGAGGACUACAGCAGCCUGGAUGUAACCGACUAUCUGAAUCUGACAGACUAUGGCAUUGCACCAGCUAAUGACGCAGAACUGCCGAAUCCCAACAGCCCAUCUGAUGGUUAUGGACAUGAUGGCGGCAACCAGUGA
rnacentral:rRNA from 1 species